CCACACUGGAACUGAGACACGGUCCAGACACCUACGGGUGGCAGCAGUCGAGAAUCAUUCGCAAUGGGGGAAACCCUGACGAUGCGACGCCGCGUGGAGGAUGAAGGCCUUAGGGUUGUAAGCUCCUGUCAAGAGGGAAUAAGCAAGUGAAGGUACCUCUAGAGGAAGGGGCGGCUAAUUCCGUGCCAGCAGCCGCGGUAACACGGAAGCCCCGAGCGUUGUUCGGAUUCAUUGGGCGUAAAGGGUGCGUAUGCGGCGCGGAAAGUCCGGCGUGAAAGGCAGAGGCUCAACCUCUGGACUGCGUUGGAUACUUCCGUGCUUGAGGACUGGAGGGGAGACUGGAAUUCACGGUGUAGCAGUGAAAUGCGUAGAUAUCGUGAGGAAGACCGGUGGCGAAGGCGAGUCUCUGGACAGAUCCUGACGCUGAGGCACGAAGGCUGGGGGAGCGAACAGGAUUAGAUACCCUGGUAGUCCCAGCAGUAAACGAUGUGAGCUUGAUGUGGGGGGAUUCGACCCCUUCCGUGUCGAAGCUAACGCGAUAAGCUCACCGCCUGAGGAGUACGGCCGCAAGGCUAAAACUCAAAGAAAUUGACGGGGACCCGCACAAGCGGUGGAGUAUGUGGCUUAAUUCGAUGCAACGCGAAGAACCUUACCUGGCCUUGACAUGCAUUGUGUCGUCGGUGAAAGCCGGCUAGUCCUGGAAACAGGACGCUUUGCACAGGUGCUGCAUGGCUGUCGUCAGCUCGUGUCGUGAGAUGUUGGGUUAAGUCCCGCAACGAGCGCAACCCUUGUGGUCAGUUACUAACCGGCUUAGCCGGAGGACUCUGGCCAGACUGCCCUGUCAAACGGGGAGGAAGGUGGGGACGACGUCAAGUCAGUAUGGCCCUUAUGGCCAGGGCUGCACACGUACUACAAUGCCCGGUACAAUGUGAACCGAAACCGCGAGGUGGAGGAAAUCGCUCUUGAAAACCGGGCCCAGUUCGGAUUGGAGUCUGCAACUCGACUCCAUGAAGUCGGAAUCGCUAGUAAUGGCGUAUCAGCAACGACGCCGUGAUACGUUCCCGGGUCUUGUACACACCGCCCGUCACAUCAUGGAAGUCUCCUGUACCCGAAGCACGUGCGCCAACCUUUUAGGAGGCAGCGUUCGAAGGUAUGGGAGGUAACUGGGAUGAAGUCGU
rnacentral:rRNA from 1 species